UACGAAGGGGGCUAGCGUUGCUCGGAAUUACUGGGCGUAAAGCGCACGUAGGCGGCUUUCUAAGUCGGAGGUGAAAUCCUGGAGCUCAACUCCAGAACUGCCUUCGAUACUGGAGAGCUCGAGUCCGGGAGAGGUGAGUGGAACUGCGAGUGUAGAGGUGAAAUUCGUAGAUAUUCGCAAGAACACCAGUGGCGGAGGCGGCUCACUGGCCCGGUACUGACGCUGAGGUGCGAAAGCGUGGGGAGCAAACAGG
rnacentral:rRNA from 1 species